UACGGGGGGGGCAAGCGUUGUUCGGAAUUACUGGGCGUAAAGGGCUCGUAGGCGGCCAACUAAGUCAGACGUGAAAUCCCUCGGCUUAACCGGGGAACUGCGUCUGAUACUGGAUGGCUUGAGUUUGGGAGAGGGAUGCGGAAUUCCAGGUGUAGCGGUGAAAUGCGUAGAUAUCUGGAGGAGCACCGGUGGCGAAGGCGGCAUCCUGGACCAACACUGACGCUGAGGAGCGAAAGCCAGGGGAGCAAACGGG
rnacentral:rRNA from 1 species